AUGAAGGCGGGCGGCAACGGUGAGGAGAUGUGGUGGUUGGAGGGAGAAGAUGGAGAUCGGAAGGGAGUGAGAGUAGUUGGUGAGUGGAGUGGGUUUGUGGUCGUUGCCGGCAAAGCGAGUCGAAGAACGCUUCAAUAAAAAGUGAUUGGCAUUUGGAGAAAAGUUGAAGGGUGACGGUUGUCGUAGGUGUUUCGCGGUUGGUGGCGGGUGGUGAUGACGAAAGUGUGAUGAUGGCGAAAGAGAGAAAAUUGAGGUUUACAGUGAGAGGGUGGAGGCGAAAACGGAAGGCGGAGGAGGUAGGUGAUUUAUGAGGGAUCCUGGAAAAUUUAUGUGGUGGUGUUGAAGGUCAACAGAGGAUUGAUGAAGAGGGGUCGCGUGAAGGGAGAAGAUGAGGGUGGAUUUAUGGUAGUGAAGGAAGAAGAAGAAAAGGAAUGGUAGUGACGUUGUAUUGUCACCACUCUUUUU
rnacentral:lncRNA from 1 species